rnacentral:rRNA from 1 species
GUGGGGAAUAUUGCACAAUGGGCGAAAGCCUGAUGCAGCGACGCCGCGUGAGCGAUGAAGUAUUUCGGUACGUAAAGCUCUAUCAGCAGGGAAGAUAAUGACGGUACCUGACUAAGAAGCACCGGCUAAAUACGUGCCAGCAGCCGCGGUAAUACGUAUGGUGCAAGCGUUAUCCGGAUUUACUGGGUGUAAAGGGAGCGUAGGCGGCGUGGUAAGUCAGAAGUGAAAGCCCGGGGCUCAACCCCGGGACUGCUUUUGAAACUAUCAUGCUAGAGUGUCGGAGAGGUAAGUGGAAUUCCUAGUGUAGCGGUGAAAUGCGUAGAUAUUAGGAGGAACACCAGUGGCGAAGGCGGCUUACUGGACGAUAACUGACGCUGAGGCUCGAAAGCGUGGGGAGCAAACAGGAUUAGAAACCCUAGUAGUCC